CAAAGAAGGUAAUAAUCCUGUAGUCGAAAAUGUUGUCUCUCUUGAGUGGAUCCUGAGUACGACGGAACACGUGAAAUUCCGUCGGAAUCUGGGAGGACCAUCUCCUAAGGCUAAAUACUCUCUAGUGACCGAUAGUGAACCAGUACCGUGAGGGAAAGGUGAAAAGCACCCCGGAAGGGGAGUGAAAUAGAACCUGAAACCGUGUGCUUACAAGUAGUCAGAGCCCGUUAAUGGGUGAUGGCGUGCCUUUUGUAGAAUGAACCGGCGAGUUACGAUUUGAUGCAAGGUUAAGCAGUAAAUGUGGAGCCGUAGCGAAAGCGAGUCUGAAUAGGGCGUUUAGUAUUUGGUCGUAGACCCGAAACCAGGUGAUCUACCCUUGGUCAGGUUGAAGUUCAGGUAACACUGAAUGGAGGACCGAACCGACUUACGUUGAAAAGUGAGCGGAUGAACUGAGGGUAGCGGAGAAAUUCCAAUCGAACCUGGAGAUAGCUGGUUCUCUCCGAAAUAGCUUUAGGGCUAGCCUCAAGUGAUGAUUAUUGGAGGUAGAGCACUGUUUGGACGAGGGGCCCCUCUCGGGUUACCGAAUUCAGACAAACUCCGAAUGCCAAUUAAUUUAACUUGGGAGUCAGAACAUGGGUGAUAAGGUCCGUGUUCGAAAGGGAAACAGCCCAGACCACCAGCUAAGGUCCCAAAAUAUAUGUUAAGUGGAAAAGGAUGUGGCGUUGCCCAGACAACUAGGAUGUUGGCUUAGAAGCAGCCAUCAUUUAAAGAGUGCGUAAUAGCUCACUAGUCGAGUGACACUGCGCCGAAAAUGUACCGGGGCUAAACAUAUUACCGAAGCUGUGGAUUGUCCUUUGGACAAUGGUAGGAGAGCGUUCUAAGGGCGUUGAAGCAUGAUCGUAAGGACAUGUGGAGCGCUUAGAAGUGAGAAUGCCGGUGUGAGUAGCGAAAGACGGGUGAGAAUCCCGUCCACCGAUUGACUAAGGUUUCCAGAGGAAGGCUCGUCCGCUCUGGGUUAGUCGGGUCCUAAGCUGAGGCCGACAGGCGUAGGCGAUGGAUAACAGGUUGAUAUUCCUGUACCACCUAUAAUCGUUUUAAUCGAUGGGGGGACGCAGUAGGAUAGGCGAAGCGUGCGAUUGGAUUGCACGUCUAAGCAGUAAGGCUGAGUAUUAGGCAAAUCCGGUACUCGUUAAGGCUGAGCUGUGAUGGGGAGAAGACAUUGAGUCUUCGAGUCGUUGAUUUCACACUGCCGAGAAAAGCCUCUAGAUAGAAAAUAGGUGCCCGUACCGCAAACCGACACAGGUAGUCAAGAUGAGAAUUCUAAGGUGAGCGAGCGAACUCUCGUUAAGGAACUCGGCAAAAUGACCCCGUAACUUCGGGAGAAGGGGUGCUCUUUAGGGUUAACGCCCAGAAGAGCCGCAGUGAAUAGGCCCAAGCGACUGUUUAUCAAAAACACAGGUCUCUGCUAAACCGUAAGGUGAUGUAUAGGGGCUGACGCCUGCCCGGUGCUGGAAGGUUAAGAGGAGUGGUUAGCUUCUGCGAAGCUACGAAUCGAAGCCCCAGUAAACGGCGGCCGUAACUAUAACGGUCCUAAGGUAGCGAAAUUCCUUGUCGGGUAAGUUCCGACCCGCACGAAAGGCGUAACGAUUUGGGCACUGUCUCAACGAGAGACUCGGUGAAAUCAUAGUACCUGUGAAGAUGCAGGUUACCCGCGACAGGACGGAAAGACCCCGUGGAGCUUUACUGUAGCCUGAUAUUGAAAUUCGGCACAGCUUGUACAGGAUAGGUAGGAGCCUUUGAAACGUGAGCGCUAGCUUACGUGGAGGCGCUGGUGGGAUACUACCCUAGCUGUGUUGGCUUUCUAACCCGCACCACUUAUCGUGGUGGGAGACAGUGUCAGGCGGGCAGUUUGACUGGGGCGGUCGCCUCCUAAAAGGUAACGGAGGCGCUCAAAGGUUCCCUCAGAAUGGUUGGAAAUCAUUCAUAGAGUGUAAAGGCAUAAGGGAGCUUGACUGCGAGACCUACAAGUCGAGCAGGGUCGAAAGACGGACUUAGUGAUCCGGUGGUUCCGCAUGGAAGGGCCAUCGCUCAACGGAUAAAAGCUACCCCGGGGAUAACAGGCUUAUCUCCCCCAAGAGUUCACAUCGACGGGGAGGUUUGGCACCUCGAUGUCGGCUCAUCGCAUCCUGGGGCUGUAGUCGGUCCCAAGGGUUGGGCUGUUCGCCCAUUAAAGCGGUACGCGAGCUGGGUUCAGAACGUCGUGAGACAGUUCGGUCCCUAUCCGUCGUGGGCGUAGGAAAUUUGAGAGGAGCUGUCCUUAGUACGAGAGGACCGGGAUGGACAUACCUCUGGUGUACCAGUUGUCGUGCCAACGGCAUAGCUGGGUAGCUAUGUGUGGACGGGAUAAGUGCUGAAAGCAUCUAAGCAUGAAGCCCCCCUCAAGAUGAGAUUUCCCAACUUCGGUUAUAAGAUCCCUCAAAGAUGAUGAGGUUAAUAGGUUCGAGGUGGAAGCAUGGUGACAUGUGGAGCUGACGAAUACUAAUCGAUCGAAGACUUAAUCAA
rnacentral:rRNA from 1 species